rnacentral:rRNA from 1 species
UACGUAGGGACCGAGCGUUGUCCGGAAUCAUUGGGCGUAAAGAGCGUGUAGGCGGCCACUUAAGUCCUGCGUGAAAUCUUGCGGCUCAACCGCAAGCGGUCGUGGGAAACUGGGCGGCUAGAGUGCGGGAGAGGAGAGUGGAAUUCCCAGUGUAGAGGUGAAAUUCGUAGAUAUUGGGAAGAACACCGGUGGCGAAGGCGGCUCACUGGCCCGUUUCUGACGCUCAGGCGCGACAGCGUGGGGAUCAAACAGG